rnacentral:ncRNA from 2 species
ACGAUAUUCCGGCUGUUGGGUUCUAUAGAAGCCAAGCUUCUUGGAUGAAAAGGGAAUGCGGUAGGGAUGACCAAAGAUGGGCCCGAGCCGCAGCUGCCCCCGCAACUGUUACGUGGUGCGUUCCUCAUAAAAGCCACUGGAGAUGAUCUCUGGGAAGGCGAGUGAUGCAAAAGCCAUGAGCCAGGAAACCUGCCCGACACAACAUAAACUC